rnacentral:rRNA from 1 species
GAGGAGCCCAGAGCCUGAAUCAGUGUGUGUGUUAGUGGAAGCGUCUGGAAAGGCGCGCGAUACAGGGUGACAGCCCCGUACACAAAAAUGCACAUGCUGUGAGCUCGAUGAGUAGGGCGGGACACGUGGUAUCCUGUCUGAAUAUGGGGGGACCAUCCUCCAAGGCUAAAUACUCCUGACUGACCGAUAGUGAACCAGUACCGUGAGGGAAAGGCGAAAAGAACCCCGGCGAGGGGAGUGAAAAAGAACCUGAAACCGUGUACGUACAAGCAGUGGGAGCCUCUUUUAUGGGGUGACUGCGUACCUUUUGUAUAAUGGGUCAGCGACUUAUAUUCUGUAGCAAGGUUAACCGAAUAGGGGAGCCGAAGGGAAACCGAGUCUUAACUGGGCGUUAAGUUGCAGGGUAUAGACCCGAAACCCGGUGAUCUAGCCAUGGGCAGGUUGAAGGUUGGGUAACACUAACUGGAGGACCGAACCGACUAAUGUUGAAAAAUUAGCGGAUGACUUGUGGCUGGGGGUGAAAGGCCAAUCAAACCGGGAGAUAGCUGGUUCUCCCCGAAAGCUAUUUAGGUAGCGCCUCGUGAAUUCAUCUCCGGGGGUAGAGCACUGUUUCGGCAAGGGGGUCAUCCCGACUUACCAACCCGAUGCAAACUGCGAAUACCGGAGAAUGUUAUCACGGGAGACACACGGCGGGUGCUAACGUCCGUCGUGAAGAGGGAAACAACCCAGACCGCCAGCUAAGGUCCCAAAGUCAUGGUUAAGUGGGAAACGAUGUGGGAAGGCCCAGACAGCCAGGAUGUUGGCUUAGAAGCAGCCAUCAUUUAAAGAAAGCGUAAUAGCUCACUGGUCGAGUCGGCCUGCGCGGAAGAUGUAACGGGGCUAAACCAUGCACCGAAGCUGCGGCAGCGACACUAUGUGUUGUUGGGUAGGGGAGCGUUCUGUAAGCCUGUGAAGGUGUACUGUGAGGUAUGCUGGAGGUAUCAGAAGUGCGAAUGCUGACAUAAGUAACGAUAAAGCGGGUGAAAAGCCCGCUCGCCGGAAGACCAAGGGUUCCUGUCCAACGUUAAUCGGGGCAGGGUGAGUCGACCCCUAAGGCGAGGCCGAAAGGCGUAGUCGAUGGGAAACAGGUUAAUAUUCCUGUACUUGGUGUUACUGCGAAGGGGGGACGGAGAAGGCUAUGUUGGCCGGGCGACGGUUGUCCCGGUUUAAGCGUGUAGGCUGGUUUUCCAGGCAAAUCCGGAAAAUCAAGGCUGAGGCGUGAUGACGAGGCACUACGGUGCUGAAGCAACAAAUGCCCUGCUUCCAGGAAAAGCCUCUAAGCAUCAGGUAACAUCAAAUCGUACCCCAAACCGACACAGGUGGUCAGGUAGAGAAUACCAAGGCGCUUGAGAGAACUCGGGUGAAGGAACUAGGCAAAAUGGUGCCGUAACUUCGGGAGAAGGCACGCUGAUAUGUAGGUGAAGCGACUUGCUCGUGGAGCUGAAAUCAGUCGAAGAUACCAGCUGGCUGCAACUGUUUAUUAAAAACACAGCACUGUGCAAACACGAAAGUGGACGUAUACGGUGUGACGCCUGCCCGGUGCCGGAAGGUUAAUUGAUGGGGUUAGCGGUAACGCGAAGCUCUUGAUCGAAGCCCCGGUAAACGGCGGCCGUAACUAUAACGGUCCUAAGGUAGCGAAAUUCCUUGUCGGGUAAGUUCCGACCUGCACGAAUGGCGUAAUGAUGGCCAGGCUGUCUCCACCCGAGACUCAGUGAAAUUGAACUCGCUGUGAAGAUGCAGUGUACCCGCGGCAAGACGGAAAGACCCCGUGAACCUUUACUAUAGCUUGACACUGAACAUUGAGCCUUGAUGUGUAGGAUAGGUGGGAGGCUUUGAAGUGUGGACGCCAGUCUGCAUGGAGCCGGCCUUGAAAUACCACCCUUUAAUGUUUGAUGUUCUAACGUUGGCCCCUGAUCGGGGUUGCGGACAGUGUCUGGUGGGUAGUUUGACUGGGGCGGUCUCCUCCUAAAGAGUAACGGAGGAGCACGAAGGUUGGCUAAUCCUGGUCGGACAUCAGGAGGUUAGUGCAAUGGCAUAAGCCAGCUUGACUGCGAGCGUGACGGCGCGAGCAGGUGCGAAAGCAGGUCAUAGUGAUCCGGUGGUUCUGAAUGGAAGGGCCAUCGCUCAACGGAUAAAAGGUACUCCGGGGAUAACAGGCUGAUACCGCCCAAGAGUUCAUAUCGACGGCGGUGUUUGGCACCUCGAUGUCGGCUCAUCACAUCCUGGGGCUGAAGUAGGUCCCAAGGGUAUGGCUGUUCGCCAUUUAAAGUGGUACGCGAGCUGGGUUUAGAACGUCGUGAGACAGUUCGGUCCCUAUCUGCCGUGGGCGCUGGAGAACUGAGGGGGGCUGCUCCUAGUACGAGAGGACCGGAGUGGACGCAUCACUGGUGUUCGGGUUGUCAUGCCAAUGGCACUGCCCGGUAGCUAAAUGCGGAAGAGAUAAGUGCUGAAAGCAUCUAAGCACGAAACUUGCCCCGAGAUGAGUUCUCCCUGAGACUUAGAGUCUCCUGAAGGAACGUUGAAGACGACGACGUUGAUAGGCCGGGUGUGUAAGCGCAGCGAUGCGUUGAGCUAACCGGUACUAAUGAACCGUGAGGCUUAACCUU